AAGAGAUUGGCUGUUGGGCAGCAACUAUUUUAAAUAAUUGUUGUCAUUUUAGAUAAACUAACAUACGAACUAUUUUAAAUAUUAAUGUUGGUUAUUAUUGGUUAUUGCUUGAUAGCUAUAUUCUUGCUAAAUAAAUGAUUCGAUUUUAGACCUUGCCAUAGACUAGAAAUUAUAUCUUUAUGUCAUGGUGAAGAAAUUUAUGAAGCUUUAGUUGGUAUAUGUUUAAAGUUGAGUUGAGUUACUUAAUAGGUGUAUAUUAAAAAUUUAAUUUAAAUUAGCAUUGGUUCUUUGAAUUAUAACGUCUGGAAUGGGUAUUUGAAGUUGUAAAUUAAGUUCUUGUAGGGUAGUGAGUUAGCUAGUGAGUAAAAUGUGAAAAUUUAACCAUGAAGCCUAAACUUUUAAUUUGGCAGCAAUUAUUUCAAUUUAUUUAUUUCUGGAAAGUUGUAAACUAGUAUAGUACAUUGAAGUUAUAAAUUUGAUUUCGAUAGGAAUAGUUAGUUAAUGUUUAAUCCAUGAUUUGGACAUAGAAAACUUUUAUUUCUGCAAGUUGGCAUCAAUCAUUUGAGUUUUUGCGUUGUAUUAGAGGGGCAUAUAUAUAUAUAUAUAUAUAUAUAUAUAUAAACAAGUAAUGUAUAAUGGAUAGAUGAUUUAAAUGGUUUGUUAGUUAUGAUGUUGCUAUUGAAGGAGGAUGAGAAUUAAGUUGAUUGAUUGCCCGACGGAUGGGCUGUGUGCAUUGAUUGAUAAAUAUAU
rnacentral:lncRNA from 1 species